UCAUCAAGUAUUUUAAAAAAAAUAUUACUUUUGGGUAGUAAAAAUAUAGAAAUUUCUAUUUUGAUGA